GACGAACGCUGGCGGCGUGCUUAACACAUGCAAGUCGUACGGUAAGGCCCUUUCGGGGUUACACGAGUGGCGAACGGGUGAGUAACACGUGAGUAACCUGCCCACAACUUUGGGAUAACGCUCGGAAACUGGUUCGAAUACUGGAUAUGUGCUCCUGCUGCAUGGUUGGGGUUGGAAAGCUCCGGCGGUUGUGGAUGGACUCGCGGCCUAUCAGCUUGUUGGUGGGGUAGUGGCCUACCAAGGCGGCGGCGGGUAGCCGGCCUGGGGGGGUGAGCGGCCACAUUGGGACUGAGAUACGGCCCAGACUCCCACGGGAGGCAGCAGUGGGGAAUAUUGCCCAAUGGGCGCGAGCCCGAUGCAGCAACGCCGCGUGCGGGAUGACGGGCUUCGGGUUGUAAACCGCUUUCAGCAGGGACGAAGCUUUUUGUGACGGUACCUGCAGAAGAAGCACCGGCUAACUACGUG
rnacentral:rRNA from 1 species